rnacentral:tRNA from 1 species
UCCCUGGUGGUCUGAAUGAUUAGGACUCAGCACUUUCACUGCUGUGGCCCAGGUUCAAUCCCUGGUCUGAUAG